rnacentral:rRNA from 1 species
ACAAGCCCUGGAAACGGGGUCUAAUACCGGAUACGAGCCUCCUAGGCAUCUUGGGGGUUGGAAAGCUCCGGCGGUGAAGGAUGAGCCCGCGGCCUAUCAGCUUGUUGGUGAGGUAAUGGCUCACCAAGGCGACGACGGGUAGCCGGCCUGAGAGGGCGACCGGCCACACUGGGACUGAGACACGGCCCAGACUCCUACGGGAGGCAGCAGUGGGGAAUAUUGCACAAUGGGCGAAAGCCUGAUGCAGCGACGCCGCGUGAGGGAUGACGGCCUUCGGGUUGUAAACCUCUUUCAGCAGGGAAGAAGCGAAAGUGACGGUACCUGCAGAAGAAGCGCCGGCUAACUACGUGCCAGCAGCCGCGGUAAUACGUAGGGCGCAAGCGUUGUCCGGAAUUAUUGGGCGUAAAGAGCUCGUAGGCGGCUUGUCACGUCGAUUGUGAAAGCCCGAGGCUUAACCUCGGGUCUGCAGUCGAUACGGGCUAGCUAGAGUGUGGUAGGGGAGAUCGGAAUUCCUGGUGUAGCGGUGAAAUGCGCAGAUAUCAGGAGGAACACCGGUGGCGAAGGCGGAUCUCUGGGCCAUUACUGACGCUGAGGAGCGAAAGCGUGGGGAGCGAACAGGAUUAKAUACCCUGGUAGUCCACGCCGUAAACGGU